UCGAGCGAACAGACGAGGAGCUUGCUCCUCUGACGUUAGCGGCGGACGGGUGAGUAACACGUGGAUAACCUACCUAUAAGACUGGGAUAACUUCGGGAAACCGGAGCUAAUACCGGAUAAUAUAUUGAACCGCAUGGUUCAAUAGUGAAAGACGGUUUUGCUGUCACUUAUAGAUGGAUCCGCGCCGCAUUAGCUAGUUGGUAAGGUAACGGCUUACCAAGGCAACGAUGCGUAGCCGACCUGAGAGGGUGAUCGGCCACACUGGAACUGAGACACGGUCCAGACUCCUACGGGAGGCAGCAGUAGGGAAUCUUCCGCAAUGGGCGAAAGCUUGACGGAGCAACGCCGCGUGAGUGAUGAAGGUCUUCGGAUCGUAAAACUCUGUUAUUAGGGAAGAACAAAUGUGUAAGUAACUAUGCACGUCUUGACGGUACCUAAUCAGAAAGCCACGGCUAACUACGUGCCAGCAGCCGCGGUAAUACGUAGGUGGCAAGCGUUAUCCGGAAUUAUUGGGCGUAAAGCGCGCGUAGGCGGUUUUUUAAGUCUGAUGUGAAAGCCCACGGCUCAACCGUGGAGGGUCAUUGGAAACUGGAAAACUUGAGCGCAGAAGAGGAAAGUGGAAUUCCAUGUGUAGCGGUGAAAUGCGCAGAGAUAUGGAGGAACACCAGUGGCGAAGGCGACUUUCUGGUCUGUAACUGACGCUGAUGUGCGAAAGCGUGGGGAUCAAACAGGAUUAGAUACCCUGGUAGUCCACGCCGUAAACGAUGAGUGCUAAGUGUUAGGGGGUUUCCGCCCCUUAGUGCUGCAGCUACGCAUUAAGCACUCCGCCUGGGGAGUACGACCGCAAGGUUG
rnacentral:rRNA from 1 species